UCCCGGUCAAGUAUACCUGGAUUUAUUAUUCUUCCCAAAAGUCCUCUAUGUGCUUCCCAAUUUCAAUCCCUUUUCUUAUAACAAGGGCUUUCUUGCAUGUUUACAGCUUUGUCUUCCUAGAAGUGCGUUCUCAGGAAGACACACCUGUGUGCAUGCAAGCAUCCGUGUGUAUUCAAAAGCAUCAGAAAGCUAAGAUUUUUUUUAAAGUGAGACUUUUACAAAUCUGAGAAGCUGGCAGAUUUUCAGAACACAUCAAAGCACUGGGAGGACAAAACUUGGAUUUCAGAAAUCAAGAAGGAGUGGGAAAUACUUACAUCCAGGCUUUUCAGGAGGGAUCUCAAAAGACCAUGCACGGAUAACCAUGAUGAAGUUAUUCAGCUGUUUGCUAUUUGACACUAAAUAAAGUCUAAAGAGGCCAGAAGAUCCAUUUCUGAGAACAGCAACAUCGUAAAAUCAAAGACUAUUUAUCUGCAUCCAAAUGGAAAAAAAAAGACAUCAAAUAUUCAUGAAUCCUUAAACACUAAGAUCUUCCACAGAAGUGUUUGACAACAUCCUUUGGGAGAAGAUCAACUGUAUGGCUUACCAUGACAUGCUAAUAUAAAGGGACAGGCUGAAAUGUAACCAUACACACCUACUCCAGCUCAUCUCAGAAGCUGAGAUGCUUAUGGUAUGCAUGCAGCCUUGACAGCAAGGAAGCAAAACCUCAGUCUCGUUUAUGAAGAGGCCAGCCCAUCUCUAGCACUGAGCAGCAGGAUGCUUUUCACCUCCGCCCACUGUAGGAUGUUUGAGUCCUACCAAGACUUAAUAUAGCAAUAUCAGGCUCCACAGAAGUUACUAAUGGUAUCAUUUUCUACUCGUCUUCACCAGAGAGCCAUCAAGAUUUCAUCUAAACUUGUUCAUCAAAACUUUCAGAAAUAAUAAUGGCUCCCAUCUGAAUCUUCAUCAAACAUGCCUUUUUUUUACAAGGAAUCGUCUGAUACCACUCCGAGAGAAAAAUGGUCUUUUGUCCUGCACAUUUCAGCAACUGUAGAUUGUCAACCCUGAGGAUCUGAAACACUAGGCAA